rnacentral:rRNA from 1 species
GUUAUAUGGUCAAGUGAAGAAGCGCAUACGGUGGAUGCCUUGGCAGUCAGAGGCGAUGAAAGACGUGGUAGCCUGCGAAAAGCUUCGGGGAGUCGGCAAACAGACUUUGAUCCGGAGAUCUCUGAAUGGGGGAACCCAGCCAGCAUAAGCUGGUUAUCACACACUGAAUCCAUAGGUGUGUGAGGCGAACCCGGGGAACUGAAACAUCUAAGUACCCGGAGGAAAAGAAAUCAACCGAGAUUCCCUUAGUAGUGGCGAGCGAACGGGGACUAGCCCUUAAGUGGCUUUGAGAUUAGCGGAACGCUCUGGAAAGUGCGGCCAUAGUGGGUGAUAGCCCUGUACGCGAAAAUCUCUUAGUCAUGAAAUCGAGUAGGACGGAGCACGAGAAACUUUGUCUGAAUAUGGGGGGACCAUCCUCCAAGGC